rnacentral:rRNA from 1 species
UACGUAGGCAGCAAGCGUUGUUCGGAAUUAUUGGGCGUAAAGGGUGCGUAGGCGGUUUUGUAAGUCUUGUGUGAAAUCUUCAGGCUCAACUUGAAGACUGCACGAGAAACUGCAGGGCUUGAGUGUGGGAGAGGUGAGUGGAAUUCCUGGUGUAGCGGUGAAAUGCGUAGAUAUCAGGAGGAACACCUGUGGCGAAAGCGGCUCACUGGACCACAACUGACGCUGAUGCACGAAAGCUAGGGGAGCAAACAGG